rnacentral:rRNA from 1 species
UACAACAUAGCAUUAAUGCAUCAUAUUCCAUUAGAAAUCUGCAAUUAAGCGUGCUUGGGAUAGAGUAGUACUGGGAUGGGUGACAGCCCGUGAAGUCUUAGUGUUUUAC